rnacentral:rRNA from 1 species
AUUGAACGCUGGCGGCAGGCCUAACACAUGCAAGUCGAACGAGUGGCGGACGGGUGAGUAAUGUCUGGGAAAUUGCCUGAUGGAGGGGGAUAACUACGGGAAACGGUAGCUAAUACCGACUACCUUCGUAUGGGCCCAGAUGGGAUGAGCUAGUGGGUGGGGUAAAGGGUCACCUGGGCGCCGAUCCCUAGCUGGUCUGAGAGGAUGACCAGCCACACUGGAACUGAGACACGGGCCAGACGCCUACGGGAGGCAGCAGUGGGGAAUAUUGCACAAUGGGCGCAAGCCGGAUGCAGCCAUGGCGGGUGUAUGAAGAAGGCCUUCGGGUUGUAAAGUUCUUUCAGCGGGGAGGCGUUACCCGCAGAAGAAGCGCCGGCUAACUCCGUGCCAGCAGCCGCGGUAAUAC